AUUGAACGCUGGCGGCAGGCCUAACACAUGCAAGUCGAACGAGUGGCGGACGGGUGAGUAAUGUAUGGGGAUCUGGCCGAUGGAGGGGGAUAACUACGGGAAACGGUGGCUAAUACCGCGUACAAUAGGAUGAACCCAUAUGGGAUUAGCUAGUUGGUGGGGUAAAGGCUCACCAAGGCGACGAUCUCUAGCUGGUCUGAGAGGAUGACCAGCCACACUGGGACUGAGACACGGCCCAGACUCCUACGGGAGGCAGCAGUGGGGAAUAUUGCACAAUGGGCGCAAGCCUGAUGCAGCCAUGCCGCGUGUAUGAAGAAGGCCUUAGGGUUGUAAAGUACUUUCAGCGGGGAGGCGUUACCCGCAGAAGAAGCACCGGCUAACUCCGUGCCAGCAGCCGCGGUAAUUC
rnacentral:rRNA from 1 species